CCGUCUUUGACACGGACUACCGGUGCUUUGUGAUGCGUUUUCAAAGAGUCGAGUUGUUUGGGAAUGCAGCUCAAAAUGGGUGGUAAAUUCCAUCUAAAGCUAAAUAUUGGCGAGAGACCGAUAGCGAACAAGUACCGUGAGGGAAAGAUGAAAAGCACUUUGGAAAGAGAGUUAAACAGUACGUGAAAUUGCUGAAAGGGAAACGCUUGAAGUCAGUCGCGUCGUUCAGAACUCAGCCUGGCUUUUGCUUGGUGCACUUUCUGAAUGACGGGCCAGCAUCAAUUUUGACUGUUGGAUAAAGGCCAGAGAAAUGUGGCUCCUUUGGGAGUGUUAUAGUCUCCGGUUGCAUACAAUGGUUAGGAUUGAGGAACUCAGCAUGCCUUUAUGGUCGGGGUUCGCCCACGUUCAUGCUUAGGAUGCUGGCGUAAUGGCUUUAAACGACCCGUCUUGAAACACGGACCAAGGAGUCUAACAUGCCUGCGAGUGUUUGGGUGGAAAACCCGAGCGCGCAAUGAAAGUGAAAGUUGGGAUCCCUGUCGUGGGGAGCACUGACGCCCGGACCAGACCUUCUGUGACGGAUCCGCGGUAGAGCAUGUAUGUUGGGACCCGAAAGAUGGUGAACUAUGCCUGAAUAGGGUGAAGCCAGAGGAAACUCUGGUGGAGGCUCGUAGCGAUUCUGA
rnacentral:rRNA from 1 species